rnacentral:lncRNA from 10 species
AGAAGAGGUACCCACAAGAAGAUGACUUCCAUCAUACAGUCUUCAGCAACCUUGAAAGAUUGGACAAGCUUCAGCCCACUCUUGAAGGUAAAGGAAGGCAGCUAACAAGACUGGCAUCUGGGCUUGGCUGUGCAUGUUUUCUAUCGUGGGGAAAUAUAUAUAACACAUUAUUUAUCAUUUGAACCUUUUAACCAAAGUGUGCACUCCGUGGCAUUCAAUAUAUUCACAGGGUUGCAUAACCAACACCACUAUCUACACCCACAAUUUUGAUGAUUUCUUACAAAACCUUGUCCACAAUAAGCAAUAUAGCGCCUUCCCCCUAUUUCCAGCCCAUGGUGAUUCCUAUCCGACUUUCUCUUGUAUGAAUUUGACUAUUCUAGGCACUUCAUGUAAUUACAAUUAUACAAUAUAUUCCUUUUGUGUCUGGCUUAUUUCACUAAGCAUAAUGUUCUCAAUGUCCAC